CCCCUAGAUGUUCUGGGCCGCACGCGCGCUACACUGAACAGUUCAACAAGUCUUAACCUUAGCCGAUAGGUCUGGGUAAUCUUUGAACGCUGUUCGUGAUUGGGAUAGACCUUUGCAAUUAUGGGUCUUCAACGAGGAAUUCCUAGUAAACGCAAGUCAUCAGCUUGCAUUGAUUACGUCCCUGCCCUUUGUACACACCGCCCGUCGCACCUACCGAUUGAAUGGUCCGGUGAAAUCUCGGGACGGCGGCUUGGUCGCUUGCGUCCGACUGCUGAAACUUGAUUAAACCAUAUCAUUUAGAGGAAGGUGAANUCGUANCA
rnacentral:rRNA from 1 species